ensembl:processed_transcript
GCGGCCGCCCACGAAGCUGUCCCCGCGGAGUAGGUCGGCGUGGAGGCCAGCGAGGCCGCUGGCGUAGCUGCGCCGCGGGGCUCCUGCGGGCUCGGGGUAGAGGCGGCCCGGAGGCGGCAGCGCGAGACGCGCGGCCCAAAAGCUCCGCAGCAGAAAGCAGGUCGCCAUGGCCCGGCAGUAGCGGCGACACGGCAAGGGACAGGGCCUGCAAAUGGAGACUCCCAGCAAGAUGAAUUCGUGCACAUAAGUCACCUUUCUCAUUGUCGGAUGCUCACCUGUCAUUUCUUUAGGCCUUAAUUGUGACAGGAGCACUUUCUGUUCCCUAGUUCUCCAGCCCCGGCAAUCUGCACUCCGUCUAGAGAUGGCACCAAAGGCCAAAAUCGCGGUUUCAUAUGCUCGGGCCACUGAACAUUGGAACUGGGGAUCACUGUUCAGUGAGGGGUGAAGUGUGGCUCAGUAAUCUGUUCCUUGCAUGCUUUUCUGCAUAUCCCCUUCAUGAAUUCGGAGCACAGCGCUCCUGAGUAGUGGGAUUUGGGGGCAACCGUUCAACUAGGGUCGAAGUGAGGCUUCCUCUUGCACACUUUCUGUGUGUUUCCUCUGUUGGUCCUGAGCAGGGGGCUCCCAAGCCUUUGCUUUGUGAUCUAGCUGUUGUACAUCAAGCAACUAACAAAGCUGAAGUCUAGUAACUGGAAACAAUCAACAUAGAAGUGAUAAGACCAGUGUUGUGGUCCACACCUUUAAUACCAGCCCUUGGGAGGCAGACGUAGGAAGCGCUAGGUGAGUUCAAGGCCAACCAAAGCCAUAUAUUGAGACCCUGUUUUAAAAAAAGAAGUCAACAGGGGUGCGAGGAUUGAAUAUAGCACCAUCACCUUAAACAACAUCUUCAUCCUCCUGUUACAUCUGGGCCCCGAACUCUGCAGAAGAAAGAAACCCUAAGUUUUAAUUUGAAUAAAAGAAAUAGCAGGCUUGUGCUCAGAAUAAGAGGAGUCAAAUGUUGUUGUUGUUAUUAUUGUAGCCCAGGAUGACCUUCAUCUCCCAGGCUUCCUUCCUAGAGUUCUGGGAUUACAGGCCAGCACUGCAUGCCCCAGUUUAGAAUAUUGUAUUUGCAAAAUGCCUCAGAUGUUCCUUUAAUUGUUGGUUUUGUCUUCUGCUGAGUCAGAGCCUCCCAGUCAUGUGCCAGAAACAUCUGGCAGAAGUCUCAGUAGCAGGAUUUAAUUGUGUGUGCAGGUAGGUGUGCACACAUAUGUGCUAUGUGUGUUCACUACGUUGUCCUGUAUUUUAUUAAGGGAAUUGGGGCGAGAAGGGGUCAAGUUAAGGAGGGCCUUCGGUGGCUUUCUUAGCUAUCUCGAGCUGGCCGGCCUGGAUGCCUGCUGCCUGUAGGGGGCGCUCUGUUCAUAGAUCAUUCUAUCUUCUCUGGGCUUUCCUUCAGAUCUCGUCUUAAUCACUUUAGACCCCAAACUUGAAAUCAGCUGUGUGUCUCGGGAUCCAAUAUAGAAUCCUCUGCCUCUCGUUCUCUCUCCCUCUUCCUCUCUUUUUCUUUUAUUUCUGUAAAGAUUCAUCUUGAAAAAAAAAAAAAACAGAAAUAAAAGAAAAAAAACAUCUUGUUUGGUAACCAAAGCCAACGUCAAAUGCACUCUGUAGCCCAGGCUGGAUUCGAACUCAGGGAAUCCACAGGUGUCAAUCUGAGAGUAUUCAAGCAAGUCAGCGCUCCUGGCUUGAAAAACUUUGUAAAAGCACUGUGUACUCUCCUUUCCAGCUGACUUGCCUGUCAUGCGCCUAGGAGUAACACUUAAGCUCCAUAGCACUUUGUUUCUUUGAAAAAGAAAAAAAAAAAAAAAAAAAAAAAAACAACCCACAAAAAUCCCCCAAACCCUAAGCACACAAUUUAAGUAUAAUCUUACUAUUUAUCUUCUCACCAACACAGUAGUAAAAUCACGCCUUUACUUGUUGAAGGAAGGAGCUCACCAAGGCAACCGUCCCAAUGGUCUGAGAAGUUCAUGAAGGGGCACCCGAAACUUCCUACACUGAUCCUUCUCCCCAGCAAGCCCCCAUUUGGAGUGGAAACAACCCCCUCCAGCCUCUUCCCCAUGACUCCCGGAUCUUAGAUGGGCGUGCUCACUAGGACCCAUAGGAGAAACGCACCCACCGGGAGACAGGAGCCUCUUCUUUUCCCCUUGUGUUCCUGGGUACCAUGAGCUUCCAGUUCCUGGCUUUUAAAACAAACUUAUUUAUGUGAACAAGUGGAGGGUUGCCAGGAUUGAUUUUUUUUUUCCCCUUCUACCGUGUGGGUCCCUGGGAUUGGCUUUAGGUCAUCAGGCUUGGCAGCAAGCCCCUGAUGAGCUAUUAUUAUUCCUAACAGUGACAUAGAAGGCUGGGCUUUAUUUUGAACACUAAAAUUAUAUCUAAAGCUGGCCUUUGGGGCUCGGGUCUGCAUUCCCAGCACAGAGAUGUAGAGACAAAGAGAUGGAGAAUUCAAGGUAAGGGCUGGGAAGAUGGCCCAGUGGGUAAGAGUGCUUGCCUUACAAGCCUAAUCACCGGAGAUCAGUCUGCAGAACCCAUGUAAAAAGGUGGAUGCAGCAGCCGUACCUGCAGUUCCACCACUCCUAUGGCAAGGUAGGAGGUGAAGACAGAUGAAUCUCCCAGAUGCACCAGUUAGCUGGAGUACUCUGAGAAGCAGAAACACGAAGAGGGACCUUGCCUCAAGCAUGUGUGUGUGUGUGUGUGUGUGUGUGUGUGUGUGUGUGUAUUGAAACUUGUCCUCUCAUCUCCAUAGGUGCGCUUGCAUUCAUGCACGCCUGCGCAAACACACACACACACACACACACACACACACACACACUUAAAUCAAGGCAUAACUCAGCUACAUAGAUGGUUUGAGGACAGCCUAAACUACAUGCGGCUUUAUACAAAAAUAUUGUAUUUCAUCAUUUAUCUGCAUAUGGAGACUAGCUUUCAUUUCAGUUGAAAUUGGCUUCAUCCAAUUUUGCUUUAUACCCAUAUCCAAAUCUUUGGAAAUAAUCUUAUACUGACUAACCUGAAUGCAAAGUCGGUUUAUUGAUAGGAAAGAAAUCAAUAAAUGGGUAGGGGAUAUAGCUCGGUGUUAGAACACUUGUCUAAAAUAAAGGAAGUCCUGGAUUUGAUCCCCUGUGCCACAAAACCCAAACUAAACAAAAAUCAACAAGGAAAAUAAUAGAAGUCCCUGGUGAAUCUUCUGGGUGGGGGAGUUUUCUUCUGAAUAAUAGUUGUGAAGGAAUAUUGCACUUAUGGUAUACUGAUCUCCACUUACAAUGCAUCAUAUAUUGGCUCAUCUGACAUCCACAAUGACCCAUAAGGUGGAAACUAUUAUUACCUCUGAGUCACAGAGAAGCAGCAGCAUAUUUUAAUAACUUGAACAGUUCCUCAGACUGAAGCUAGCAGAACUGGUAUGCAAAUGAAGCACACAUUCUCACAGGCUCCUAGGAUACCUGCAUACUUGCUUUUCAACUUGUGUUUGCAUUUCAGAGAAGCUCCGGGUGAUGGAAUCACACUGUCUCUUUAUAAAAAAGGCCUGCAUUAGCAAGGGGGAUAGCAGUAAGGGAAAAAAAAGUAUUUUCAUAAACAUGUGGGCAUGUAGGAUAUAGGGGUCAGAGGUCAGCAUCAGGUAUCUUUCCCAAUAGCUUUCCUCCUCUUUAUCUCUGAGAUGGUCUUUCACCAAACCUGGAGCUCGUUGAUUUGGUUAGGCCGGCUGGCCAAUGCACUCCAGGAAUCUGCUUGCCUGUGCCUUCCCUGCCCUGGAGUUACAGGAGCACACUACUGUGCCUGGCUUUUAAAUGCUGGUAAGGAUGGGAAUUCGGUCCUCAUGCUUGUGAUUUCAUGAUUAAGGCACCUCCCCAGCAUUUCUC